rnacentral:lncRNA from 1 species
GCCCUACUCAAGUGCUACAUCACUCAGAGGACUUCAACACCCCAGCAUUCAAAUGUAAUGUUGGAGAGGUCCUUGGCCGGCUGGACCCCACUUUGGCCGACUCGUCACACCCACCUGCAACCAGCGAGAUGGUGAGGACCACUCAGCAAGCCCACCAGCCACCAGCUUAGUGCUUGGGCUCCUGGAAACCACCCCCCACCCCUGGCCUCCUGGUUGUGUCGCUACCUGGUUCCACACUACAGAGGCACAGGGGGCAUAAGGGCCAUUGUCCUGAGCUGCAGAAGUGAACAACAGAUAGAGGGCCUCUCUCAGGCUCCUUCAUGAAAACUAAAGCUGACUGUAAAAGUGAAGAGAAUCUUGGAAAUAAAGGCACACCAGACCACCGUACUUGAAUUUGUACAUCUCUAGAACAAUACUUAACAGAACUCAGACUUUCAGCCUCCAUUCACAGCCUCUAAAAUCUCUGCUGGAAAUUUUUUUGAUGAUACCAUAAUGACAAAGAAGCCCACCUUCAGGAGAGCUUCCUUCUUGGAGACAUAAAGUUGCAGCUUCUCUCCACAUCCACCUACUUUGAAAGGAAAGACAGAACCUCCAGUCUGGGUGGAGGCUCAGACUUGUCAAUCUCUACCUACAUUCUUAUGAAUUUCCAAGCCAUGUUUGAAGGCAGCGUUAG